rnacentral:misc_RNA from 1 species
GAAAUAUAUUAUUAAUUAUUUAAGAAAAAUAAGGAUUAAUUAUGAACAAUGAUGCUCUGAACUUGGAAAACUGCAAUCUAAUCCAACUUAAUAUACUCAAUAGUCAACUGAAAAGUAAAUACAAGAAGAAAAGAAUAAAAUGAAAAAGACACUCAUUCUCCCACCCUUUCUGAAGCCUGCCUGAUCUUUACAAUGGGAUGCACUCCAUAUCUGUUUAACUUAUCACAGAAAUGCUAGUUAGAAACUACAAUAUUAACUACUGACUCUGUUGGCAUACCAGGUCAGGUACUAAUGCUUGCAAGGCAUCUUCGAAUCCAAUACAUUAUGUUAUUUUGUUGUCCGGUCUGACCAGCGACAGCGAGUAUCUUGCAUCAUAUCCACAAAUUCACUGUAAUCAAUGCGUCCAUCGUUAUCUUGGUCAACUUCACGUAUUAGAUCUGCCAGUUGAAUAUCGCCCAAGCCAAAUUGGUCACAAGCCUGUUGGAGCUCAUCUUGAGUGAUGUACCCACUUCCAUCUUUAUCAAAGUAUGAGAAGGCUGCAAAUAGAUGAUCCUCCUUGUCAAUCUUGUUUAGAUGAAGCAUCGCUGCUAUGAAUUCGCCAUAGUCUAUGGUACCACUGUUGUCAAUAUCUGCUGCUUGCAUCAACCCAAUAAUUUCAGAAUCCUUGAGAUUAGCUCCCACUCUUUCCAAACCCUUCUUCAGUUCCUCAAGAGUAAUCUGUCCACUAUUGUCUGCGUCUAUCAUCUUGAACAUUUCUUUUAGGCCUGCAAUUUCUUCUUCAGACAGGCUUUCGGCAAUGACCUGUUUAGAAAAAGAAAAUGGCAGUCAUCCCCAGAGAAUCUAGGUGGUAGCAAAUAACAAGUCAGCAAAGCAGAUAUUUAGAUAGGAACCUCUUUAAACACUAAAAGCUGACAAUAAUUUUACUUCUUUCUUAUCUCUGAUUUUCAAAAACCUCCGUGCAAUUCAACCAAGAUGACUCAAUAAAGAAGAAAAAGAAGAGAAAAUGAUUCUGUUAAAAAUUUGGAAUAUCUCCUUGCAAAAUCAAUAUUUUGCUGGCAGACAUUUCACAUGCCCUGGUAAAUGUACUCAAAAUAGAAGAGCACCCUUGACAACACUUCAUAUGAUAACUUUUUUGGAAUGGUCAUGACCAACUUUUUGAAGGAAGAUAAAAACUCACUCGAAUGGCAAUUCUCUUGAUUUUGUUCAUGGCUGAGAAUUGCUUCAAGCGACUUAGAACUGCAGAAUCAAGAGGUUUAUCAGGGGCAACGCCAUCCACCUGAACCCAAGGGUGGCAGAGAACUUCAUGGGCCGUCAUCCGCUUUUUAGGGUCCCUCACUAGCAUUCUUCUGAUCAGAUCUUUUGCACUUUCAGAUAUAUUAGGCCACGGUUCUGAUAUGAAGUCUAGUUCACCUCUUAAAACCUGUUCAAAUAUUCCUUGUUCCGUUUCAUCCCAGAAUGGGGGAACACCACUUAGUAAAAUAUAAAUGAUGACCCCGGCACUCCAAACAUCACAUUCUCGACCAUAAUGUUUUUUCAACACUUCUGGGGCUACAUAGUAGGGGCUCCCAACAACAUCAGAGAAAGUUUCACCUGGCCUGAAGAAAACUGAGAGCCCAAAAUCUAUUGUUUUAAGCGGUGCCUCCUCGUCCUGACUGACAAAUAGAAAAUUCUCAGGCUUCAAGUCCCGGUGCAUAACACCUAAAGAAUGGCAUGCUUCCACAACGCCAACUAUCAACCUUGCAAGCUCAGCAGCCCUUCUCUCAGUAUAAUGCCCCCUCUGAAUAAUUCUAUCAAAAAGUUCCCCACCUGCACAAAGUUCCAUAACAACAUGAACUGCAACAGCAUCCUCAUAAGCAUCCAAAAUCUUUAUCACAUUGGGGUGACCCUCCAAAUGGUGCAUUAUCUGAAUUU